UUCGCAAUAUACAUUAAAUUGAAAGUUUUGCAUACAUGUGCAAAACACACGUACGUAUACAAAACCAUGUACACACACGUAAGUGAACAGAUGUACCCACAUUCAUGUAUAUAUACAUAUUGAUAAAUUUGGAAUUAAUAUGAGCAUUACUCAGCCUACUCUGACUAAUGUCUGCACAUGUAUGUAUGUAUGCUUUCAAUACAUAGAUACAUAUACCAUACCAAGUAUUUAUAUUUCCGAACUCAUACAUAUGUACAUAUAAAUCUUUCUACUCUCGACGAAAAUGUAUGUACAUAUACAUCUAAAAAAAAAUAUUUUUAGUGCAUACUACUAAAAUACAUACAUAUAUGUAUAAAAAUACAUAUACUUUUUACAUAUUUAUGUCUAAAUGAAUCAUCGCAUUAUGUGCGAGUUGUAAGUAGUACAUGUAAAUGAAAUUAUUACAGUAUAAAAAAAAGUUUCUUCAGGAAUCGUGCUUACCAUUUUUUUGCUGCAAAAUGUGAGUACUUUUUACCAAAUUCGGAAACCAAUUGCAAUGUAUGUAUACGCUAAAACACAAU